AACUUUUAACAAUGGAUCUCUAGGCUCUCAUAUCGAUGAAGAACACAGUGAAAUGUGAUAAGUAAUGUGAAUUGCAGAAUUCAGUGAAUCAUUGAAUCUUUGAACGCACCUUGCACCUUUUAGUAUUCUAAAAGGUACGCCUGUUUGAGUGUCAU
rnacentral:rRNA from 1 species